GCCUGCACUUGGGGCACAUACAGCCCUGAGGAACUGCAGUCCCUGGGUAAACCCGAGCCAGAGCAGGGGAAAGGGGAGGUUCAUUGCAACAUUAAUAAUGAGGGUCUAGUCCAAAGGAAUGGGGAGUGGACAUUGUAAUGGAAAUAGCUUUAAGUUGUUGAACUGUAUUUUAUUUAUUACUGUGGAAGAAACCACCUGAACCAAAGGAGGACAAGCCUUACAUGAAGCAGCCCAAUUGCUUAGUUGCCAACUGGGGUUAAACCAUGACAAUCUCAAAGGGUGAAGAAUGGAAUGAGAAUUUUGUCCACAUCCAUCAUCCACAUCCAUGGGCAAGAUGUGGCAAGAGGUCUCCAGAACCUCCCAAAUCUGCUGAAAGUUUGUGUCUGUCCCUUUCAGGUUCAGGAUUUUGUGGAAUAUGGAGAGACUUAAGGAUGUAUUCAACUAUUUUUCAGAGGAAAAGAAGUACAGAACUGUAUGAACCACUGAGACCACCUACAGGAAUACCAAAUGACUGGUCAGUCAUAGUAAUUCUUGGCUCCUAAUGAUUUAAAAUACAUUAUAACAAAGCUUGCGCAUUGUCACUUGAAAGCUUUCAUUUUCAUAGGCCUGCACAGGAGCACUCUGUAAAUCUGCAACACUGGGCUUUUAUUCAUGUCUUUGUUACCACAGCAUUGAGAGACACAAAACAGCUAUAGAAAUAAAGGAACAAUUCUUAUUAGAGUAUAAUGAAUGCAGAUACCCAAUGAACUGGAAGACUACAGGAAUAACUCUUAAAUUUAUAAAUCUGCAGAAACAUAAUUACAGGUAACACUUUUAGAGUAACACUUAUGUGAGCAGUAAUUCAGCUUAAGGAAGACAUACUCUUUUACGCUAGCUAAGUGAUGCUUGACAAGUUUGACAGCAGAAUCCUUAGGCAACUACAAUUAAGAAAAAACCCAAACAAAUGUAAUACUCUUUGCCCAAAUUGUGACAAAGAUUAAAUGACAUUUUAGAAAUUUUACUGUACUUUGACAUGCUGCUAUGUUGUUUUUGACCACACUGGCUUGGGUUUGAUACAGUUUUGAAGGACUGCAUUCUCUACUGCAGCAGCCAUCAGAAAAUACAAAAUGCCUGUCUCUCUGUGGUUCCCAAAAUUUAAGGGAAGCAGAGAAUGACCGUGAACAUAAAUGACUCCUUCUUUGGUUGUAUGCCUGGGAAAUGCAGUCAGCAAGAGGAAUAAUGAGAAGCACAGUGAAAUGCUGCUGAAGAGAAGAGAAUGGGACACUGCUUGUUGAGAGGCAAGAAUAGUUUAACUGAGGGGUGGGGGAAGUUGUGGAAAGGAUGAGAAGCAGGUAGACACAAAGUGAGAAAGCAGAAGAUGAUUCCUCAUAGGAGUUGGAUAGAAGAACUGGGCAACCGAAUCACAUUCAUAGCAACCAUGGUGCCUUGGAAAAUGCACAGAACAUGCUUUGGGGAACAGAAAAAGCAGGAAAUAACAUGAGGGAUGUUAGAGCAAGAAGAGGCUUAGUAAGCAUCAAAUGGUGCAUCAAAAGUCUGAAUGAGUAACUUCAGACAUGUGAAAGAAUGCUAAUGAAGCAAGUAAUAAUUAAACAAGCAAAAAACACUGUAACAGACUCUGUGUUUGUGCAUGAGCUUAAUGAGUCAGACUCAAACUAUUACAUUUAAGAUUGGAUUCUCUUUCCUACUGAAACUACUAUAUUUCCUACUAUUUAUAAAAAAAAUAAUAUUCUGCUUCUCAGGUCUCUGAGAUUCCCUUCCUGGAGUUUCACUCCCAAACAGUAGGAGCAGAUGCCAGAGCUUCUUUUCCUGCUGCUUUCAGGAGUACACAAUUGUAGUUUGAGAUACAAGGGCCUCUGACAGUGAUCAGUAAUUAUUUCUCUAUGAAUUAACCAUCACCAUUAACCAUGGGUCUUGAAUAAACUAUUUUAGGUCAAAACUCCCAAUCAAAAUAUUAACUUUAUCAAGUUCUUUUGAAUAUCAGGAUUAGAUAGUGAUUUUCUGAUAAAACAGAAAAAGUUGGUAAGUGCUCACUUUGCAAACAAGAAGUGAUAGUUGGCACAAUGUUGCUUAUUAUUGCAACUGCUGUAGUAAGAUAAGGUGCCUUUUCUAAAAUGUGGAUCUACAAAGAUCUAACAGGAAAACCAUUUAUUGAAGAUUUCAAUACUCAAGGAAAGCACCAACAAAAUAUUGUGUCUCAAUAUAAACCAAUUUGUCUGGCAUUUCAGAGGAUAUUUAAGAAGAACCUCUGUCAGAUACAGAGACAGCUGAAUAAUUUUCUGAGGUUUGUGGCUUCAGAAUAGUAAUUUCAUAUAUGGUAUGAGCUUUGGUGUUCUAAAUUAAGCUUCUAAUUCAGCAAAAAGGCAUUUCUAGACAGGAAAAAGAACCAAAUAAUUAUUUUUACCUUUUAGCUAAUCAUUCACAAAGAAAAUUUUCUAAUAUAUUCAGCAUUGUUUUAACAUACAUUAUUGCUGCUACAGAAGUCAGAGAUCAUCAAUAAAUGAAGACAAUGUUAGAGGAUGCCAAAAGCUUGCUGGCUGAUUUCUGAAAAUAUUUUGAUCUUAACAUGUAACAACAGAUUGUCAAUGUCCAUGCAUCUCACAGACUGCAUGUUAAUUAAUUAGACUUGAUGAUCAAGAGCUCUGUCUUUUCAACCAUGUUUUAACAAAAUGAUUUGCAAAAUCAGAGCACUGCCACUGGCUAAUGCACAAUCUAGAAAAAGCUCAGACUACAGGACCGAAGUUACAGAUACCAAAAUAUAUCUGUGAAAAUGACUAAUUUAUGAUUAAUAGAUUGCUCAGUGCAUUCCAUUUUUUCCCCCCAAAAUAAGGAAAAAUUAUUUUAAAACUUCAGACAUUUGGGAUAUUUUCAAAAUGCACAUUUCAAUCAACAUUGUGUUACCCAUGAGGAAACUUCAGAGACUGCUUAAUGUAUUUUGUUAUAUGUUUUCAAAUUCUACUUCCUAGAAUAUAUUCUUGGAAAUUCUCACCAAGAAUAUUACCUCUGGCAUUUGAGCUGAAAAUAAAAAUCUGAUGGAAACAUAUUUAAAGGUUUUCCUCAUACAGGUCUGAGCCUUCCAGAAUGCUUCUUCAUGCUCUCACAGCAAAGUGUUUCCAAACUGAAAUAUAGCAGCUGACAUUGAACUGAAAAGCAUGUUCCAAGUUGUUGUGGUUAGUAAAACAAGAGUGCCCUCUGUCGAUGAUGAACUCAGGAUCAACAACUUGGGCACAAUAAAAUAUAUUCUGCUUGAAAUCUGUCAAAUUCAGGGUAACUGCCUCACUAUUCCCACGGAAACUGAUUCCAAAGUUACCAAACGUUUCAGCUAAAAUGUAAAAUUUCCUCUUUACAGAGAACCCAUGGACUUCUUCACAGAAAUAAUGAAAAGAUAACAUUUUUGUGAGAAAGAG